rnacentral:rRNA from 1 species
UGGGGAAUAUUGGACAAUGGGCGCAAGCCUGAUCCAGCCAUGCCGCGUGAGUGAUGAAGGCCCUAGGGUUGUAAAGCUCUUUCACCGGUGAAGAUAAUGACGGUAACCGGAGAAGAAGCCCCGGCUAACUUCGUGCCAGCAGCCGCGGUAAUACGAAGGGGGCUAGCGUUGUUCGGAUUUACUGGGCGUAAAGCGCACGUAGGCGGACUUUUAAGUCAGGGGUGAAAUCCCGGGGCUCAACCCCGGAACUGCCUUUGAUACUGGAAGUCUUGAGUAUGGUAGAGGUGAGUGAAAUUCCGGGGGUAGAGGUGAAAUUCGUAGAUAUUCGGAGAAAAACCAGUGGCGAAGGCGGCUCACUGGACCAUUACUGACGCUGAGGUGCGAAAGCGUGGGGAGCAAACAGG